rnacentral:rRNA from 1 species
UAGUCAUACGCUCGUCUCAAAGAUUAAGCCAUGCAUGUCUAAGUACAAGCCUCACUAAGGUGAAACCGCGAAUGGCUCAUUAAAUCACACCUAAUCUACUGGAUAGUUAACAGUUACUUGGAUAACUGCGGUAAUUCUGGAGCUAAUACAUGCACAAAGCCCCGAACUUACGUGAGGGGCGCUUUUAUUAGAUCAAAACCAAACGGCUUCGGCUGUAUCCUUGGUGACUCUGAAUAACUAUAGGCUGAUCGCAUGGCCUAGCGCCGGCGACAUAUCCUUCGAAGGUGUGCCCUAUCAACUGUCGACUGUGGCAUAGACGCCCACAGUGGUUUUGACGGGUAACGGGGAAUCAGGGUUCGAUUCCGGAGAGGGAGCCUUAAAAACGGCUACCACAUCUAAGGAAGGCAGCAGGCACGCAAAUUACCCAAUGACCGAAGGUCGAGGUAGUGACAAAAAAUAACGAUACGGGACUCAUCUGAGGCCCCGUAAUCGGAAUGAGUACACUUUAAAACCGUCCCCGAGGAUCUAUU